CAUCAUCUACUUUAUAUAAGUAUUGUAAAAAUUACAACGUAUUUUGGUGAUCUUGCAAAAUGAUCGUAAUCCCGAAAAUCAUAAACAUAUUUUCUUAUCUUAAAAGGGGGCAAGAAGGGUUCCAUUAACAGGCCAAUAAAUAAGAUUACAGUUAAUUUAAAAAAAAAUAAAAAAAAAUAGAGAUAUUUUUUCUCUCAUAAUAACAGUAAACAGAUUCACAACAAUUUCAAUUUUAAGAAAGCAGACAACAGUUAAUUAGUCAAUAACAGUACAGCAUCAAUGAUCUUGAAUAUAUGCCACUUUUAACUAAAAUAUAAAGGCACAGAACCAGGACAUAGGAGCACAGAACCAGGACCGUUUUUCUUAUCACCAGCACAACGUCAGGACAAUUCCGUUUAACGAACUUGCACGACUUUUGCAAUAUAAUAUUGUUGUAAUAUACUUUACAUGGUACUUAUAACACAUCAGAGAAAAAUUAAGCAACAAAACAGUCGUUUUAUUGGCGUUCAGAUACAAUGUAAACAAACCCACCAGCACAGAAUCAGGACCCACCAGCACCUGACAGUACAAAAUCACCAGCACAGAACGUUCUCUCGC
rnacentral:lncRNA from 1 species